UUGGUACUCCCUCCGUCCGAAAAUACUUAUCAUCAAAAUGAAUAAAAAGGGAUGUAUCUAGAACUAAAAUACAUCUAAAAACAUUUCCUUUUGUUUAUUUUGAUGACAAGUAUUUCCGGACGGAGGGAGUAGUAC
rfam:Triticum aestivum genome assembly, contig: Triticum_aestivum_CS42_TGACv1_scaffold_289826_4AL